rnacentral:lncRNA from 10 species
UGAAAACUUCAUCUAGAAAAAUAGUCCAUUUACUUGAGUGAGAAUUGAACCUCAUAUAAUAUCAGAAAAGUAACUCAACUUUAUGCUAUCUAUAUAUAUAGUAUACUCAGUUAAGCCAUUUAUUUGACAAAUAUUUAUUUCCAACCCAUUAUGUUCCAAAAACCAUUCUUGCAGCUGUAUCAGUGAACAUAACAAUAAAGCUUACAUUCUAGCCUAUGUGUCAAUAUCGUAAAAGUACAUCCUCUUGAAUUUGCUACAGGAUCAUCGUAAGGUAAUUUAGAAGAAAACACUUUUUAUUAUGUACUCAAUAAAGGCAGAAAACAACAUUUCCUUGUUGAGCUUAUAUUACCAAAAUUCCAAUGUCAUUAUUCAGCUUCUUCACUUUCUAAACUCUGAUGAAUGAGCCCCCACCACACCAUAACGUUGCAGUAAGCUGGUGGCUGGGAUUGGCGAGAACAUUUUACCCCAGGAGCUUCCCUCCUGUGUACUCACUGAUGUACAAACUGACUGCAGGAGCCCAAACCUUGUAUAACAACCCUGGGAUGGAAUAAGAUGCACUGUUGGGUCCAGAAGUGCCCCAAACACCUAAUACAUACACACUUGAGUUUCAGGUGACCCAAAAUCAAUCAUUCUGCCAAGUCUGAUUUUCUUUUCUUCUUCUUCUUUUUUUUUUUUUUUUUUUUUUUUUGAGACAGAGUCUUGCUCUGUCACCCAGGCUGGAAUGCAGUGGCAUGGUCUCAGCUCACUGCAAUCUCUGCCUCCCAGGUUCAGGCAAUUCUCCUGCCUCAGCCUCCCAGGUAGCUGGGAC